UUCUUUACUUCCUUAUAGUUGUGUGGAAAAGCAAAAUAACCUAAUAAUGCAGUUCAUUCGAAAAUGCAAACAUUCAAGAAAUUCAAGAAAAUCUGCCUCCUGCAUCCUUUCCUUCUAUUACUCAAUUUUUGGUUAACAACUUCAAUUCCUCAAAAUGCUUCAACAAUCUUUUGUCACAAACUGAAAACUCAAACGCGAUUUUCGAAACCAAAUUCAACCGCGUUUUCUCCGCUAAACCACAUUUUCCUGUGCAAAUCUCGAAAACUAUACCAUUGUAAUAGAGCCUCUAUUAAUCUGUUCCCAAUUUCCUAUACUAACUACCGAUGUAAAAGUUAGAUCAUCUCCAACCCUUCUUGUUCAUCUUCACUCCACUAUGUCCCUUCUAAACUUCCAUAGCCUAGUUUUAGUUCCCGACAGUCCAACUCACUUUUACUCUACGAUUGCUCAAACAAAAACCUUGAUCCUUCACCAUAUUUUCAUAAUGUCACCUGCCUGCAUGCAUGUGGAGCUUCUUCAUAGAUUCAAGAACCCGAACUUUACGGGCAUACAUGGUCCUCUUGCUUACUAGUUUAUGAUCUCACAAAGCUAGACUUGGGUUUUCAUCCAAGAGAUCUGAAUUGCUCAUGUUACAGCAGGGUGUAUGAAAAACCUUCACAUGGAAACAAGGAAGGAUAUGGGUUGAAGACGAGGAUGUCUUUCGACAUCCCUGACCACGUACCCAAUAUUUGCGACGAGCGUGAAAAGCCUAAUGGAAAUUGUGGUGCUGGGUUGAUGUGCAUAUGCCACCCAAAAAAGUGCAAAAACAAAAUCAUUUCAAAGGGUUCUUUCACCAGUUCUGGUAAUAUCCUCUUCUCUUUGCUGACUCUUGUAGUACAGAUGGUUUUGGAUCACUGAAGCAAGAAAGUUAAGUCCCUAAUGUAUUGGUUUUUAUGUCAUUUACUUCAUAGCUGUAAAAAAUAAAUCAAAAAGAAAAUUUUAAUAGUUGUUCCCAUUUCUCUUUCAUCUGUCUGUCGUGUAAAGAUUUGUAGGCUCCAUUCGGGUGGAGAAAUUUGAAUUAAAGGAUUUGGAUGUGAAACUUUUGCCACAUAAACAAGAAAUCAUUAAAUAGAUUGUAUUUGUAACAACUAGAUGUAAGAUGUAAUCUUCACUAGGCAAACCACCUAGUCGGAUUUUAGGGAUUUCCAGUAAGAAAUUGUCACGUUAUCUCAAGUGGGACUGGAUUAACAAAAAAAUCAGAAGGGAUUUGUGUGUUUGUAAUGAGUCAUUUGGACUUCAUUUACGUUUUUCAUGUCUUUCUUAUUCAAAUCUUGUGAUGCAUGGAUUGCUAUAUUUCAAACGAACAAUUUAACUUUAUAAUCUCUUCUAAGUUUCUAAAUUUGAAAUCCCUCAAUCCAAAUGAGCCCUUGUAUUGUUUUUUUUCUUGUGACCGCAUUGACAAGCACCAAGUUGUUAAGGAAAUACAUGAUAUAUUUGUACACUUAGAGGGGGCUUUUCAAUUCCCACUUCCACUAGCUACUGCUUUUCUAAAGGAACUAUAAGUUGAGGUACAACUACAUUCUUCAUGAUUUACUGUAAGGUACAAUCUGCUUUAACAUGAACCUAAUCAACCCACAAUUACUGCAGCAGUACUGCAACCAGCAUAACCCUAAUACUUGAAUUUGUUUUCUGGCCAACCCUUUGUUGUUAAGAGGAAAAUGACAGGCAAUGACAGAAAAGAAUAAUUAUAGGCUUAUUUUAUUAACAGUUUACAAACUGUUGAAUAAAUCCUACAUACUUAAUACAUUCCACAUUUGCUUUUGAGGUGCAUAUGUGCAAUAUGUGCCUAGUUUCAUAAAGUGUGAAGUGAGACAUAUAUUAAAUAGAUUUAUCAACUAUUUAAAAACUAGUAUAAUUAAUGUGGUGUUUCUAAUGAUUUAAUUUGCAGAAAACAAAGUCAUUUCAAGGGGUGAAUCUUUGACCAGUUCUGGUAAUAUCCUCUUCUCUUUGCUUACUCUUGGAGUACAGAUUGUUUUGGAUCACUGAAGCAAGAAAGUUAAGUCCCUAAUGUAUUGGUUUUUUUGUCAUUCACUUCAUAACUAUAAAAAAUAAAUCAAAAGCAAAUUUUGUGUUAUAAAUAGGCAAAAGUUAGAGAGGUAAUCUUUGCUAGGACAUGAGUGAAGCAGGUGUAAAAUAUCAAACUAUUUAGUUUGGUAACUAUAACAAAAAAGGAUUGCAGGUAAAAAGAGGAAGUGAGGGAUACUGAUAUUAUUGCUUUCAAUUUUUUUCUUUUGCAGUGUGUAUUGUAAUCACACACGGAGUGCUCUUAUAUAGAGUAACAUCUGUGACAAUGACAAACCAAACAAAUGAAAUGAUUGCCACUUUUGAAAACAUUACACAACAACAAAUAAAUCACUAUUUUCAAGUCUUCCUCAUUGUGGGCAUUCAUUCGCACAAUUUUAUAACACUCCAAAUUGGAUGCUCACAUAUCAACAUCAAUUGCCUCAUUAAAACUUGCUCGGAAAAACCCAAUGGGAAAAAACCAUAGCGUGUUGUAAAAUUGUGAUAAUGAAUGCCCACAGUGAGGAAGACUUGAAAAUAGUAAUGUACUUGUUGUUGUGUAAUGUUUUCAAAAGUGGCAAUCAUUUCAUUUAUUUGGUUUGUCACGGUUGUUGCUCUAUAUAAAGAGCACUCCGUCUGUGAUCACAAUACACUGCAAAAGAAAAUAACUGAAAACAAUAAUAUCAGUAUCCCUCACUUCCUCUUUUUACCAGCAAUCCUUCUUGUGUUAUAGUUACGAAACUAAACAAUGUGAUAUUUUGCAUUCACUUCGCUCUUGUCCCUAGCAAAGGUUGUCUCUCUAACUUUUGUCUAGUUAUAACACAUUAUCAGCACGACUUUCUAACCUUAACCAGUUAUCAUCUCCCUUCACCGAAAAAAUGCUUCCUCCAAGGAUUUCUUGUUUUUCUUCAUCCUUUGCCUCACCUGCUUGAUGUACCCUCGUGAAGAACUACUAGCUCCAUGUCUGCAUAUAGUUCUAAAUAUAACAAUUACUUAUAUCUUUGAUUUCUUGUUUGGUGUAGCUCCUGAUUACUAACCAAGUGAUUAUUUAUGUUAAUUUUACUACGAUCGAAGAUGGUGUGGUACCAUCGCCCAUCUUGAACUGCAGAUUUAAUUUUACUGCAAUUUUAGGUGGUGCGGUAUAAUCGUCCACCCUGCUUUACCUAUUUAAAUUUUCUUGCUGCUUGAGUGGUGUGGUAUAAUCGCCUAUACUAUGCUAUAUUAUUUGAAUGAGAGUGGUGCAGUACAAUCGCCCUUCUCAUUAAUCAUGUAAAUCUCAAGUUUGAAAUUUUGAGUGCUUAUCAUUUUGGCCUGAAAAUCAAAAUGAAAAAUUUGUAAGAACUAGAAGUUCUAACACUAAAUUCCUCCAUAAUACAUAUUAUUGCAAGUUCUUAUAUAUCUCAUUUUUCUUUCAGAAAAAUAAAAUGGUGAACAUGGCAAAACUUGAUUUUGUUGCCCUGGAUAUUACUCGGAAGAACUAUGCCCUGGAUAUUACUGGGAAGAACUAUCUUACCUGGGUAGUGGCUACCAAGAUCCAUCUGGAGGCAGGGAAUCUUUGAGAAACCAUCAAGGAGGAAAACAGUGCAUCCUCUCACGUUCGGGCGAAUGCCAUGAUCUUUAUCCAUCGCCACUUGAAGGACUGAAGAGCGAGUACCUAACAAUUGAAUAUCCAUUAGCCCUCUAGAAGGCAUUGAGAAAUAGAUACAAUUACUAGAAAAUGGUGAAUUUUCUAAGGGAUUGUUAUGAGUGGACACACCUAAGGAUCCAGAUUUCAAGUCUGUUGCAGAGUACAACUCUGCAAUGUUCAGAAUUAGCUUCCAAAUGAAGCUUUCUGGGGAAACCAUCACUAAGGAAGAUAUGUUGGAAAAUACUUUUAGCA